rnacentral:rRNA from 1 species
CCUACGGGUGGCUGCAGUGGGGAAUAUUGCACAAUGGGGGAAACCCUGAUGCAGCAACGCCGCGUGAGUGAAGGAGUAUUUCGGUAUGUAAAGCUCUAUCAGUAGGGAAGAAGAAAGACGGUACCUGACUAAGAAGCCCCGGCUAACUACGUGCCAGCAGCCGCGGUAAUACGUAGGGGGCAAGCGUUAUCCGGAUUUACUGGGUGUAAAGGGAGCGUAGACGGCUGUGCAAGUCUGAAGUGAAAGCCCGUGGCUCAACCGCGGAACUGCUUUGGAAACUGUAUGGCUUGAGUACUGGAGAGGCAGGCGGAAUUCCUAGUGUAGCGGUGAAAUGCGUAGAUAUUAGGAGGAACACCAGUGGCGAAGGCGGCUUACCAAGCUACUUCUGACGUUGAGGCACGAAAGCGUGGGGAGCAAACAGGAUUAGAUACCCCAGUAGUC